rnacentral:tRNA from 1 species
GUCGCACAGCUAGUAUGGUGGCUAUUACCCUCGGCUUGUAACCGAGUGGGUUCGGGUUCGAAUCCUGAGUGAGACA